UUCUCCUCACAGGCCUGGUGCCCUGGACCUGCCAAAGCUGCAGGGCUGUGGGGCAGAGGAGGGGAGAAGUGUGGCUUGAUGGACCAGGCUGCUUGUGAGCUGUUGGAGUGUUUUGCAAAAGGAGGAUUCCCAGGAAAUCAGAACUCUGCUUUCCAGCCUGAGCCAUGAUUACAUGUUACAGUGAUACAGCAGCCUGCUUGUUGGAAUAUGAAAAAAAAAAAGGGAGGCGAUUAAAAAUUGAUUAGCUGCUAUAUUUGAAGACUUUUCAGCACAUUCAAAGAAAUGUGCUGAUUACCCAUGUAUUAUUCAUAUUUUUAUUUAUAAUGUAUUCCUGUUGUCCAUUUUGCCACUGAUAACUGCUCUUCAUGGAGCCCUGUGGCCAACAGGAAAGCUGUGAACUGAAAUUUUCAAACAACAAGGUCUUUCGGCCGUUUCGGAGCCUGUGUUUCACGCUGCCUUUUUGUUCUCUAGCAAUAGCUAGCUAGGCAUUAACCAUCCGGGCAGCUGGACGCUAUUUAAAAGCCAUUUUUAGGGGUCUCUCUCUUAAAUUCUCUUCUGGACAACACCCCCUCAAGCACUCCAGGUGAAAAACAAACUAAUAAAGAGCCCAUUUUGUCAUUUAUGGAUGACACUAUUCCAGUUCAGCAAAGGCACAGAGCUGAAGUCUAUUGAACGUACUCUACAGUUCAUUUGAAACACAACUAUGAAUCUACAGAUAUUUGCAAGGGCAUGUUUAUAUUUUGCCAGACAGUUGGCUUUCAGAAGGGAAAGAGAAUGGGAGGCAGCAGUGUCUGCAGGUGACUGGUCUGUGUGUUCCACAAAGCAGGUGUUACCUUGUACGAGCCCCUCUCUCCCUGAGACAACAGGGUCACCCUUGUGCAAAACUGUAUUCAGAAAUGGGCUAAACAUUCAAAGAUCAGCUCAUAACCCAUAUUCCCCAAAAGCCAGUGCUUAAACCUGAAUAACUUGGAGACACCUGAUCUGCAAAAGGCAGCAAAGAGCCGUUGCAUCAAGAUAUACAGUGUAAAGACGAAAUGUUGGAGUGAUUUCCACAGAACACAAUAAGGACCAGUGUUGACAAAUGCAGG